UACGGGAGGCAGCAGUGGGGAAUAUUGGACAAUGGGCGGAAGCCUGAUCCAGCCAUGCCGCGUGUGUGAAGAAGGCCUUUUGGUUGUAAAGCACUUUAAGCGAGGAGGAGGCUCUCCUAGUUAAUACCUAGGAAGAGUGGACGUUACUCGCAGAAUAAGCACCGGCUAACUCUGUGCCAGCAGCCGCGGUAAUACAGAGGGUGCGAGCGUUAAUCGGAUUUACUGGGCGUAAAGCGUGCGUAGGCGGCUGAUUAAGUCGGAUGUGAAAUCCCUGAGCUUAACUUAGGAAUUGCAUUCGAUACUGGUCAGCUAGAGUAUGGGAGAGGAUGGUAGAAUUCCAGGUGUAGCGGUGAAAUGCGUAGAGAUCUGGAGGAAUACCGAUGGGCGAAGGCAGCCAUCUGGGCCUAAUCUGACGCUGAGGUACGAAAGCAUGGGGAAGCAAACAGGAUUAGGAUAACC
rnacentral:rRNA from 1 species